ensembl:ncRNA F56F10.9 ncRNA
CUGUAUUUCUGGUUGUUUUGGGUUUGUGCCAAAAAAAUAUAUUCAAAAUUUUCUUGCAAUUCGAUGAUUCGGCAAUUGCCGAGUUUUAACAUAUUUGGUAACUGCCGAAAUUUUUUUUAUUAUUUUUCAACAGCCCGAUGAUUCAAAAAU